GCGGCAUGCCUUACACAUGCAAGUCGAACGGCAGCACGGGGGCAACCCUGGUGGCGAGUGGCGAACGGGUGAGUAAUACAUCGGAACGUGCCCUGUAGUGGGGGAUAACUAGUCGAAAGAUUAGCUAAUACCGCAUACGACCUGAGGGUGAAAGCGGGGGACCGUAAGGCCUCGCGCUACAGGAGCGGCCGAUGUCUGAUUAGCUAGUUGGUGGGGUAAAAGCCUACCAAGGCGACGAUCAGUAGCUGGUCUGAGAGGACGAUCAGCCACACUGGGACUGAGACACGGCCCAGACUCCUACGGGAGGCAGCAGUGGGGAAUUUUGGACAAUGGGGGCAACCCUGAUCCAGCAAUGCCGCGUGUGUGAAGAAGGCCUUCGGGUUGUAAAGCACUUUUGUCCGGAAAGAAAUGGCUCUGGUUAAUACCNGGGGUCGAUGACGGUACCGGAAGAAUAAGCACCGGCUAACUACGUGCCAGCAGCCGCGGUAAUACGUAGGGUGC
rnacentral:rRNA from 1 species